rnacentral:rRNA from 1 species
UCCUGACUGACCGAUAGUGAACCAGUACCGUGAGGGAAAGGCGAAAAGAACCCCGGCGAGGGGAGUGAAAAAGAACCUGAAACCGUGUACGUACAAGCAGUGGGAGCCUCUUAAUGGGGUGACUGCGUACCUUUUGUAUAAUGGGUCAGCGACUUAUAUUCUGUAGCAAGGUUAACCGAAUAGGGGAGCCGAAGGGAAACCGAGUCUUAACUGGGCGUUAAGUUGCAGGGUAUAGACCCGAAACCCGGUGAUCUAGCCAUGGGCAGGUUGAAGGUUGGGUAACACUAACUGGAGGACCGAACCGACUAAUGUUGAAAAAUUAGCGGAUGACUUGUGGCUGGGGGUGAAAGGCCAAUCAAACCGGGAGAUAGCUGGUUCUCCCCGAAAGCUAUUUAGGUAGCGCCUCGUGAAUUCAUCUCCGGGGGUAGAGCACUGUUUCGGCAAGGGGGUCAUCCCGACUUACCAACCCGAUGCAAACUGCGAAUACCGGAGAAUGUUAUCACGGGAGACACACGGCGGGUGCUAACGUCCGUCGUGAAGAGGGAAACAACCCAGACCGCCAGCUAAGGUCCCAAAGUCAUGGUUAAGUGGGAAACGAUGUGGGAAGGCCCAGACAGCCAGGAUGUUGGCUUAGAAGCAGCCAUCAUUUAAAGAAAGCGUAAUAGCUCACUGGUCGAGUCGGCCUGCGCGGAAGAUGUAACGGGGCUAAACCAUGCACCGAAGCUGCGGCAGCGACACUAUGUGUUGUUGGGUAGGGGAGCGUUCUGUAAGCCUGUGAAGGUGGCCUGUGAGGGUUGCUGGAGGUAUCAGAAGUGCGAAUGCUGACAUAAGUAACGAUAAAGCGGGUGAAAAGCCCGCUCGCCGGAAGACCAAGGGUUCCUGUCCAACGUUAAUCGGGGCAGGGUGAGUCGACCCCUAAGGCGAGGCCGAAAGGCGUAGUCGAUGGGAAACAGGUUAAUAUUCCUGUACUUGGUGUUACUGCGAAGGGGGGACGGAGAAGGCUAUGUUGGCCGGGCGACGGUUGUCCCGGUUUAAGCGUGUAGGCUGGUUUUCCAGGCAAAUCCGGAAAACCAAGGCUGAGGCGUGAUGACGAGGCACUACGGUGCUGAAGCGACAAAUGCCCUGCUUCCAGGAAAAGCCUCUAAGCAUCAGGUAACAUCAAAUCGUACCCCAAACCGACACAGGUGGUCAGGUAGAGAAUACCAAGGCGCUUGAGAGAACUCGGGUGAAGGAACUAGGCAAAAUGGUGCCGUAACUUCGGGAGAAGGCACGCUGAUAUGUAGGUGAAGCGACUUGCUCGUGGAGCUGAAAUCAGUCGAAGAUACCAGCUGGCUGCAACUGUUUAUUAAAAACACAGCACUGUGCAAACACGAAAGUGGACGUAUACGGUGUGACGCCUGCCCGGUGCCGGAAG